GGAGAGAUGGCUGAGCGGUCGAAAGCGGCGGUCUUGAAAACCGUUGAGUCCUUACGGGCUCCGGGGGUUCGAAUCCCUCUCUCUCCGCCA
rnacentral:tRNA from 3 species